AGUCGAGGGGCAGCAUGAUUGAAGCUUGCUUCAAUUGAUGGCGACCGGCGCACGGGUGAGUAACGCGUAUCCAACCUUCCGUACACUCAGGGAUAGCCUUUCGAAAGAAAGAUUAAUACCUGAUGGUAUGAUGAGAUUGCAUGAUAUCAUCAUUAAAGAUUCAUCGGUGUACGAUGGGGAUGCGUUCCAUUAGGUAGUAGGCGGGGUAACGGCCCACCUAGCCGACGAUGGAUAGGGGUUCUGAGAGGAAGGUCCCCCACAUUGGAACUGAGACACGGUCCAAACUCCUACGGGAGGCAGCAGUGAGGAAUAUUGGUCAAUGGACGAGAGUCUGAACCAGCCAAGUAGCGUGAAGGAUGAAGGUCCUACGGAUUGUAAACUUCUUUUAUAAGGGAAUAAAACCUCCCACGUGUGGGAGCUUGUAUGUACCUUAUGAAUAAGCAUCGGCUAACUCCGUGCCAGCAGCCGCGGUAAUACGGAGGAUGCGAGCGUUAUCCGGAUUUAUUGGGUUUAAAGGGAGCGCAGACGGGUCGUUAAGUCAGCUGUGAAAGUUUGGGGCUCAACCUUAAAAUUGCAGUUGAUACUGGCGUCCUUGAGUGCGGUUGAGGUGUGCGGAAUUCGUGGUGUAGCGGUGAAAUGCUUAGAUAUCACGAAGAACUCCGAUUGCGAAGGCAGCACACUAAGCCGUAACUGACGUUCAUGCUCGAAAGUGUGGGUAUCAAACAGGAUUAGAUACCCUGGUAGUCCACACGGUAAACGAUGGAUACUCGCUGUUGGCGAUAUACUGUCAGCGGCUUAGCGAAAGCGUUAAGUAUCCCACCUGGGGAGUACGCC
rnacentral:rRNA from 1 species